CCUCUACUUCUACCCCAGAGGUCCAGAACCUCUAGCUUUGUAUUUCUCCUUUGUGGUGAUAUAUAUAUAUAUUUUUGUUCUCUUGUACUUGAAACUUAUUUGAUCAAUGAAGCUGGAUUCAUCUUUACAGAGGGUCCCUCCCCCCUUUUCGUAUUCUUUUCCUUCUUUUUGUCUUCUUGCAUUGAUUUGAGUCAUGGCGC
rnacentral:lncRNA from 1 species